rnacentral:lncRNA from 1 species
AAUUAUUAACAGGGACUGUCAGGGGCAUUCGUAUUUCAUAGUCAGAGGUGAAAUUCUUGGAUUUAUGAAAGACGACCAAUUGCGAAAGCAUUUGCCAAGGAGGUUUUCAUUAAUCAAGAAUGAAAGUUGGGGGCUCGAAGACGAUCAGAUACCGUCCUAGUCUAAACAAUAAACGAUGCCGACUAGGGAUCGGCGAAUGUUGCUUUUAGGACUCCGCCGGCAUCAUAUGAGAAGUCAAAAUUUUUGGGUUCCGGGGGGAGGAUGGUCGUAAGAUUGACAGACUGAGAGCUCUUUCGUGAUUCUAUGGGUGGUGGUGCAUGGCCGCUCUUACUUGGUGGAGCGAUUAGUCUGGUUAAUUCCGUUAACGAACAGGACCUCAGCCUGCUAACUAGCUAUGCGGAGGUAUCCCUUCGCGGCCAGCUUCUUAGAGGGACUACGGCCUUUUAGGCCGUGGAUGUUUGAGGCAAUAACAGGUCUGUGAUGCCCUUAGAUGUUAUGGGUCGCACGCGCGCUACACUGAUGUAUUCAACGAGUUUAUAGCCUUGGCCGAUAGGCACGGGUAAUCUUUGAAAUUUCAUCGUGAUGGGGAUAGAUCAUUGCAAUUGUUGGUCUUCAACGAGGAAUUCCUAGUAAGCGCGAGUCAUCAGCUCACGUUGACUACGUCCCUGCCCUUUGUACACACCGCCCGUCGCUCCUACCGAUUGAAUGAUCCAAUGAAAUGUUCGAAUCACGGCGACGUGGGCGGUCUGCUGCCCGCGACAUCGCUAGAAGUAUAUUGAACCUUAUCAUUUAGAGGAAGGUGAAUUCGUAACAAGGUUUCCAUAGGUGAACCUGCAGAAGGAUCAUUGUCAAAACAUGCAAGGCAGAACGACCUGCGAACUUGUUUAAAAAUUGGGGAGCGGUGCAGCCAGGAUGCUUCGGCCUCCGUCCGUGCGGCUUCCUCCUAUAUCUGUGACGCGCGCUCGCGUGCGUGCCUAGUGAUUAACAAACCCCGGCGCGGAAAGCGCCUAGGAAUACUAAAUUGAAAGCUUGCCCCUCGCGCCCCGUUCGCGGCGUGCGCAGGGGACUUGUGCUUCUUUUGAAACACAAACGACUCUCGGCAACGGAUAUCUCGGCUCUCUCAUAUGCUUGUCUCAAAGAUUAAGCCAUGCAUGUGUAAGUAUGAACAAGGAAACACAAACAACUCUCGGCAACAGAUAUCUUGGCUCUCGCAUCGACGAAGAAAGUAGCGAAAUGCAAUACUUGGUGUGAAUUGCAGAAUCCCGUGAACCAUCGAGUCUUUGAACACAAGUUGCGCCCGAAGCCAUUAGGGCGAAGGCACGUCUACCUGGGCGUCACACAUCGCGUCGCCCCUCCACACCGCGCCCAUUCUCAUGGUCGUGGUGUUGUCGCGGUACGGAUACUGGCCUCCUGUUCGCCUCGAGCGUGCGGUUGGCCUAAAUGCGAGUCCACAGCGACGGACGUCACGACAAGUGGUGGUUGAAACUUAACUCUCGGAAUGUCGCGGCUCCAACCUGUCGCAUGUUUGGGCUCCCUGACCCUUAUCGUGCUUAGGCUUCCUGACCGCGAUCCCAGGUCAGGUGGGACUACCCGCUGAGUUUAAGCAUAUCAAUAAGCGGAUGAAAAUAGACUUACAAGGAUUCUCCUAGUAACGGCGAGCAAACCAUGAACAACCCAGCCUUAGAAUCGGGCGAUUCCGUCGUCUGAAAUAUAGUCUGGAGAAGCGUUUUCAGCGGCGGACUGGGCCCAAGUCCCUUGGAAGGGGGCGCCAGAGAGGGAGAGAGCGCCGUUGUGCCCGGACCCUGUCACACCACGAGGCGCUUUCUACGAUUCGGGUUGUUUGGGAAUGCAGCCCAAAUCGAGCGGUGAAUUCCAUCCAAGGCUAAAUACGGGAGAGAGACUGAUAGCGAACAAGUACCGCGAGGGAAAGAUGAAAAGGACUUUGAAAAGAAAGUCAAAAAAUGCUUGAAAUUGUCAGGUGGGAAGCGGAUGGGGGCCGGCGAUGCACCCCGAUCAGAUGUGGAACGGUGUUGAGCCGGUCUGCCGAUCGACUCGGGGCGUGGACCAGCGUGGAUUGGGGGGGCGGCCAAUUCCCGGGCUUUUGAUACGCUUGUGGAACUUCGUUUCCUUGAUUGUGGUUAGGCAGCGCGCGCUCCAGACGCUAGCCUGUGGCCUCCCUAUUCGACCCGUCUUGAAACAUGGACCAAGGAGUCUAACAUGUGUGCGAGUCAACGGGCGAGUAAACCCGUAAGGCAUAAGGAAGCUGAUUGGUGGGAUCUCCCUUAGGGGUGCACCACAGACCGACCUUGAUCUUCUGUGAAGGAUUCGAGUGUGAGCAUACCUGUCGGGACCCGAAAGAUGGUGAACUAUGCCUGUNNNNNNNNNNNNNNNNNNNNNNNNNNNNNNNNNNNNNNNNNNNNNNNNNNNNNNNNNNNNNNNNNNNNNNNNNNNNNNNNNNNNNNNNNNNNNNNNNNNNNNNNNNNNNNNNNNNNNNNNNNNN